GAGAUCCAGGAAAGGACAUGGUUUAAGCCUCCUAAAUUCAGAGGCUUUUUGCUUCAAGUAAGAGAGCAGAGGCAACAGGCAACCCAAUAGCCAGAUUUCUCUGCAACACCAAUUUCUAUCAGGAAGAAGUCAAGAAAGACAAACCAUACCCAAAGGAGAGAAUACAGACUUAUUCAAAACUGAUGCAUCUAAAUUGAGGAUUUUUUGUGUGUAUGAAAGGCAUUGGAUAACUAUUUGGCUUGGUCCCAUGCCAAUACAUGUUCUAGGAGCUGCUGAGAAGCUGAGAUUCCUGCAAACUUACAAGCAAGGUGUCUGAUCCUGGUCCUGGAAAAGGCAAGGCCAGCUGGCCACCAACAACCACCAGGCAUUGGACCAAGCCAACAGAAGCCCUCAAUCUCCAUUCCACUGAAGUGGAGGCAUGACCAGGUAGAAGAGAAGGCAGGAAGCAGUAAUCAACUGGAAAACUACCACGAACAAAAACCCAAGCACUACCACAAAAACAUGAAAACCCAGGGAAAAAAAAUCCUAACAAAAUACUGUAAUAGGUUACCUUUAUGUGAAUGACUCUUCAUGCUCGCCUAGACUGAGUCACUCUGGGAACUGCCUCGCGGUCCAUCUGGCUGCCAACUCCUGGCUAAACUUGAACAUCCUGUGACUGAAAUGAAUGCAUCAAAGGCUAAGGCACCGCAAGGUAACAAGGUUUUCUUUGUCCAGCACUUCCAGAUGCACCAGCAUUCCCCUUCUGCUAACUCUCACAUAUCCUCUGGGUCUGUGUUUGGUACAUUUCUGACUUUCAGCAGCUGUAAAGAAAGGGUAGACUUGAACUUUUCCUCUCACUCUAAUUUCAUGGACCUCCUCAAUCCAUCUCUGGCCAUGUAUCAGUGACAGUAUAGUUCUGGAUGUAAAACUGUUUACAAUUUUUCAUUGCUCUGGACAUAAAAUUUGGCUACCACCUAUGUAAACAACUUUCAAAUACUGGAGGAUGUAGUUGCUGCAGACAAAUGUAGGCAUAGAAACCACUCUGACAUGAUCUUACAGAAAGUGAGACUGCACUGCUGGAUACUGCACUUCCACAGACUUUCAACCCACUUAGUUGCAGUGGAAGGGGGAAGGAAAUAAAAUAUAUUAAAAAAGUAUUCUUUACAUUCCCAGCUUUCCUCUCCAAAUCAGGAACACACUCCUAUCUCUUAGGUGGCAAUAUAAACUUAAAUAAUCUUUCCUGCCCUCACUAAAACUAUUUUUAAACCAGUAGUCAGGUACAAAACAAAUGUCCCAUCUAAUGCAAUGGGUAUUACUCAGUGAUGAUAAACACUAUACACCCACCUAGACUUUUCACUUGAUGUGGUUGGAAACUGCUAUGUAAGGUGGAAAAAGUAAGGCAGGCUGCUUUAUUUUUGGCAUUUACUUUAGAGU